rnacentral:ncRNA from 1 species
UCGGUAUUCUGGAUUGAGUAAAAAAGGGGCGAUCUCGCGAGGGUGAGCUAACUCCAAAAACCCGUCCUCAGUUCGGAUUGCAGGCUGUAACUCGCCUGCAUGAAGCAGGAAUCGCUAGUAAUCGCCGGAAGGGGCACGGAGAA